ensembl:snRNA U2 U2 spliceosomal RNA
AUCGCUUCUCAGCCUUUUGGCUAAGAUCAAGUGUAGUAUCUUAUAAAAUAAAAUUUACUGAAACUAAGUUCUCCAUCUCCU